rnacentral:rRNA from 1 species
UACGUAGGGGGCAAGCGUUGUCCGGAUUUAUUGGGCGUAAAGAGCGUGUAGGCGGCCAGAUAGGUCAGCUGUGAAAACUCGAGGCUCAACCUCGAGAUGUCGGCUGAAACCAUCUGGCUAGAGUCCGGAAGAGGAGAAUGGAAUUCCCGGUGUAGCGGUGAAAUGCGCAGAUAUCGGGAAGAACACCCGUGGCGAAGGCGGUCCUCUGGGACGGUACUGACGCUGGAGACGCGAAAGCGUGGGGAGCGAACAGG